rnacentral:rRNA from 1 species
UGGGGAAUAUUGGACAAUGGGCGCAAGCCUGAUCCAGCAAUGCCGCGUGUGUGAAGAAGGCCUUCGGGUUGUAAAGCACUUUUAUCAGGAGCGAAACGCUGUCGGCUAAUACCCGGCGGAACUGACGGUACCUGAGGAAUAAGCACCGGCUAACUUCGUGCCAGCAGCCGCGGUAAUACGAAGGGUGCAAGCGUUAAUCGGAAUUACUGGGCGUAAAGCGUGCGUAGGCGGUUUCUUAAGUCUGCUGUGAAAUCCCCGGGCUCAACCUGGGAAUGGCAGUGGAUACUGGGAGGCUAGAGUGUGUCAGAGGGUGGUGGAAUUCCCGGUGUAGCGGUGAAAUGCGUAGAGAUCGGGAGGAACAUCAGUGGCGAAGGCGGCCACCUGGGACAACACUGACGCUGAGGCACGAAAGCGUGGGGAGCAAACAGGAUUAGAUACCCUGGUAGUCCACGCCCUAAAACGAUGCGAACUGGAUGUUGGUCUCAACUCGGAGAUCAGUGUCGAAGCUAACGCGUUAAGUUCGCCGCCUGGGGAGUACGGUCGCAAGACUGAAACUCAAAUGAAUUGAC